rnacentral:rRNA from 1 species
CCUACGGGAGGCAGCAGUGAGGAAUCUUGGUCAAUGGACGUAAGACUGAACCAGCCAAGUAGCGUGCAGGAUGACGGCCCUAUGGGUUGUAAACUUCUUUUAUAUGGGAAUAAAAUGUUCCACGUGUGGUGUUUUGUAUGUACCAUAUGAAUAAGCAUCGGCUAACUCCGUGCCAGCAGCCGCGUUAAUACGGAGGGUCCGAGCGUUAUCCGGAUUUAUUGGGUUUAAAGGGAGCGUAUGGUGAUUGUUAAGUCAGGCGUGAAAAUGUGGGGCUCAACCGUGGCACGGCAGUUGAAACUGGCGUGCUUGAGUUGGAGAGAAGUAUGCGGAAUUCGUGGUGUAGCGGUGAAAUGCAUAGAUAUCACGAAGAACCCCGAUUGCGAAGGCAGCAUACCGGAUCGACACUGACGCUGAGGCACGAAAGCGUGGGUAUCGAACAGGAUUAGAUACCCGAGUAGUC